CAAGGUUUCCGUAGGUGAACCUGCGGAAGGMUCAUUG
rnacentral:rRNA from 1 species